UACGUAGGGUGCGAGCGUUGUCCGGAAUUAUUGGGCGUAAAGGGCUUGUAGGCGGUCUGUCGCGUCUGCUGUGAAAAUCCGGGGCUCAACCCCGGACUUGCAGUGGGUACGGGCAGACUAGAGUGUGGUAGGGGAGACUGGAAUUCCUGGUGUAGCGGUGAAAUGCGCAGAGAUCAGGAGGAACACCCGUAGCGAAGGCGGCACUCUGGGCCGAUACUGACACUGAGGAGCGAAAGCGUGGGGAGCGAACAGG
rnacentral:rRNA from 1 species